rnacentral:rRNA from 1 species
AACCUGGCGGCAGCUACACAUGCGAUCAAGCGCGCCUUCGGGUGAGCGGCGGACGGGUUAGUAACGCGUGGGAACGUGCCCUUCUCUACGGAAUAGCCUCUGGAAACGGAGAGUAAUACCGUAUACGCCCUUUGGGGGAAAGAUUUAUCGGAGAAGGAUCGGCCCGCGUUAGAUUAGGUAGUUGGUGGGGUAACGGCCUACCAAGCCUACGAUCUAUAGCUGGUUUUAGAGGAUGAUCAGCAACACUGGGACUGAGACACGGCCCAGACUCCUACGGGAGGCAGCAGUGGGGAAUCUUAGACAAUGGGGGCAACCCUGAUCUAGCCAUGCCGCGUGAGUGAUGAAGGCCUUAGGGUCGUAAAGCUCUUUCGCCUGUGAUGAUAAUGACCGUCGCAGGUAAAGAAACCCCGGCUAACUCCGUGCCAGCAGCCGCGGUAAUACGGAGGGGGUUAGCGUUGUUCGGAAUUACUGGGCGUAAAGCGCGCGUAGGCGGAUUAGAAAGUGGGGGUGAAAAUCCCGGGGCUCAACCCGGAACUGACUCAAAACUGUAAGUCUAAGUCGAGAGAGGUGAGUGGAAUCCGAGUGUGAGGUGAAAUCGUAGAUAUUCGGAGGAAACCAGUGGCGAAGGCGGUCACUGGCUCGAUAUGACGCUGAAGUGCGAAGUGUGGGGCGCCAACGGAUUAAUACCUGUUGUCCACCGUAACGAUGAUGCCAG